CGGGGUUAGGUGAUCGUCGCCUCCCAGAGGGCGGAGGCGGGAAGGGAGAAUUGAGGAUGGAAAGGGUGAAUUGGCCUUUUGGUGGGUAGGGAAAGCCUCUAAGCCGUUGGUUUAUGACGGGUGUGUAUGUGAGCUGCAUCUAACGAUUCCUGGACUUCUGGAAUUUGAAUUUUAAGUACACACCUAUAAAAUUGGCCAUACUUCCACUAUACUGAUUGCUGUUAAAAGUGUGAUAAAAAAAAUAAACCAGCAGAGGUCUCUCUAUAGCUACAUUGGACAUUGCUCACUGCUUAGAAAUCAAAGUUGCACAAAUCAAACUAUUUCUCUUUUCACUUUGUAAAAAUAAUAGUGCCUGGUUUCUGGUAUGCUCCUUGUGUGUGAAACCUCUUCUGCUUCUGUACAGAAAUAAAAGGCUGUGUCUUUUCUUGA